CUGCGCGCUCCCGUGCCACUUUCAGUUCUGUUCGCAAUACACUGUUUUCUUUCUGGCUUUGAGUUAUUUCCAAACAAAACACUGCAUAGUCGUCGUCGACGAGUUUACAGACCUCUGCCACGGCUGCAUUCGCUAGCACCUCCAUAAUGGAGGCUAUUUGAGUGUGAAAAACCAUACGUUUAGCCAUUGUUAGCAGCUACUAGCUAGCUUUACUUAAAUAACAUCAACCAAAUCCAGUCUCCAACGCGAAUUAAAUACUACCUGGGGUAAGUAUGUGAUUCUUUGCAGAUAAAUGAGUCAUAUGUUGAGUUCCAGGGUGUUAAUAAACGUCUAAAUAACAACAAUAAAAACACUAACGUACAAAAUUGUUCUUGAUUUAAUGUUCACUUCCGUUAACACUGACGAAAAAGGAUCUAAUUGGUUGGCGUCAUAGCUCAAAUGGUGUGGUUAAAUGAAAAAAGGUAUGCGCGCUGUUCUUUGAAUUACGGUACUUACUGAUCAAAUCUCCUAUUCAUGAUCAGUAUCUAUCUUUCAAGCUUAGAGCCGACUUGUUUAGAAAGAAUAGUGUGUUAGCAAGAAUACUGUAGAAAAUAUUAGAAUUACUUUAUUCCAUCUACAUCACAUCAGUAAGGUAAAUAUUUAACUAUACUUGUUCUAGCCUAGAUUUACUGUCUCUAAAAACAGGUAUAUACACAAGCCUGUUUCAAAUGACAAGUUAAUGAGGCGUAUGUGGUUAAUUACCCUCUUAGCCCUAGUGUUAGAUGGGUACCUUUUUUGUGGUGAAUGCCCAUCCUGACCCUGUCUGUAUUUAUGGGGUAACCAUGAGGUAGCUAAGGAAGGCUAGACCCAGGUCCAGGCCUUCUACCAACCCAGUCCCCAGGCAUUAAACAAGACCCUGAAGAAGAAGACAGACUUGCUGAUAGACUACCACCCAGAGGGGUCUCCCACCACUCUCUGUGAAGGCUGAAGCCCAGGGUGACCUGCUCUGUUCAUCACGGAUACUGUGGUGAUUGUAUCAUAGAGAGAGACCCUCCUAUCUCUAUCAGCCCCAGGCCCGGCUUCAUCCUGCACUGAGACUGUGAAGAGAAGGGUCUGGGCUGCAGACUGGAUCCCUGACUGGAGCCUCUGUCUCUAUGAUGACCACCAGGACUGAAGUUAUUCAGUCCACCUGUCCACUGGUUGUGUUCUGUGUAGUGGUGGAGUCUCUGUCCCUCGUGGUUCGUUCCCGGUUUCUACUCUGGAAUAAACAGCGACGGCUCCUGAUCCAAGGUCCUGAUCUGGGGCCAUGGUUGUGACCAGCCGCUUCAGAGGUCCAGUCUCUCCUACCAGCAACACUGGAUAUCAGCAGGUCCUCAUGGACAGCAGACUGUGUAAACACAAAUUGUACAGAAGAGCAUAUAAAGGUUUAUAUAACAAAUGCAUUGCUGUACAAACAGAAACAUGAUAUUAUUAAAUGUUAACCACAGUUAAGCCCAUCUCUAACACCAUGAUUCGAGUACCUAACAAUAUGGAGCCAUUAGAGUUAAUUAUUUAAAAAAUGUCCUUAUGUGAAUGAAGUAUAAUGUUUUGUUCGACUGUGACAGGGGAAACUCAGUCCCUGCAAUGAUACAAGAAUAACCAAGUCAGUCAGCACAGAGUGUGGGAAAUGUGGGGGCCAAGCAGGCUACAACUAGCCAGCUAUGUGUGUGGAAAACAUUUAAUCACAGGUAAUGUAUUAUAUGGAGCUAUACACCUUUAAUAAUGCUAGUCCAUAACUCCCUUGUGUUUAACAGGCAAUCAGUAUCACUCUUGAGGUUUAAGGUCAAGGGAAUAUGUAAAUGAGCGGUCUUGCAGUUUGAAGUGUGCACAGUGUUAAUAGUUACUAUGCUUCAGUCUAUGUAAUUGCAGAUGACAUGAUAAUUGCAGCAGCCACCAAAGAAGAACAUGAUCACAUUCUACAGCAGGUGAUGGGCAGAGCUAUCCGUCUGAAUAUGAAGUUCAAUGCUGACAAGAUGCAAUACAUGGCAGGCAUUCUAUCUAAUACUGACUGGAACUAUACACUAUACAUGGGCCGAAUGGCCUCUCUCCUGUUUGGAUCUUCAGGUGCAUCUUCAGCUGGUGCUGGUGGGAGAACCUCUUCUCACUGGGGGCAGCUGCAGGAUUUCUCCCCUGUGUAAGAAAUCCUAUGGUGCCUCUUUAGGUUGAACGAGUGGGAGAAACUGUCCGGGAACAAGGUGGCAGCCGAACACUUGCCUAUUAAUGUUCUGUGGGGACCCCAGGAAGAGUAACUGCUGAUUUUGCAACAGCUAAUGGGGAUCCAGAAGAAGUUGUUCAAAGAGAAAGCCUAAUGUUGCAGAAACUUGGUUCAGGAUCUCUGGAGGUAUUUCAACAUUCCCUGGCCUUUCAAUCAAAUGUAAAAUGUUCUGUUAUAUAACAAUCCUAAAUUGUAGCCUAUACAUUAUGGCAAUGUACAUGUUUUCAUUUAGAAAUCUACAUCUUGCAUGUUUUUGUUUACAUUUACAAAGCUCAUAUCUCCCUCCGAUUGUAUGGUUAUCUUUUGUGUUAAUGAUUUAAAGUAAAUAUUUCUCAUGACAUUUCACAAAUGUCCCAUUUUGAAUCGAUGAUCAACACUGGAUGAUUUGGAUAAAUAGCUAGGUUUGCCUAAAACAUUGGAAACAUAAUAUAUAUAUAUAUAUAUAUAUAUAUAUAUAUAAUGACCAGUCUUUAAUCAAAAUUUGGUUGUUCUUGUAUUUCCACAAGUGCAUUUCUUUGAAAAACAACAAUGAUUGGGUUUAGAUCUGUUAAAUCGGUGUUUCCAUUAUUUUGUAUAAGUGACUACUGUAAGCAAGUUCAAUGCUAUGCUCUUGCUGGACAUAUGGUUGAAGUGGUCAGUUGGUUUUGAGAUCUGAUUUGGCCUAUUAAAUUACUGAACACA